GGGACACACGGAGAUGGGAUUAUGGUGGGGAGCUGGAGGGCUGGGGGUGAGGAGACCCCCUGUGGAGUUUUUCCUGCUUUAUUUUCCUCACUCGUGACUGCGGAGGGCACUCGUGGCUCAGGGCUUUGCAGCUGGAUUCAAUCAUCUCCGUGCGGCUUUUGGCAGCUCCGUCACCAGACCUGACGGUGACGGUCUCCCAGGGGACAGCGGAUGGCAGAGCACACAUCGCUGCCUCUCCUGUGCUUUGAAGUGGUUUAGAGACAACGUGGAACUGGGGAAGAAAACGGCAAUUUGGGCUCUCCAAGGAAGCCAGCAGAGACACAGCUCUCAUCAUCACAUCCCUCUCGGGUAAUUUGGUCAAAAACCAGGUGAUACCCACUCUCAACAUACAACAGAAGCAGACAGUGAGCAGGCACUUUCCAUACAAGGCUGCUGAGCUUCACAAGAGAAAGAAAACCAAUCAGCAGUCCCCUAGGGAGCAAGGUUCAGCAUUUACCUCAUCUGCAAGUCGGAGAAGCAUACGCAGAAAUCUGGCCAGAUGCAUCUGUCUCGCUGACAGCUCGCCUCUUCCAGAGUAAUCUGUCCGAUACAGAGCUGUCGCACUGUCCACUAUCAGCAGUGCAUACCUGGAGAAGUUACAUGAAGCAUUCUCAGAGGUGAAUAAUGUGAACAUCUGAGUCAACUGUGAGCUGCAUGCAGAUGUGGAUGUAAGCCCUUCUCACCUGCCAGUUAGCAGAACUGUUAUUUUUACCACUACAGACUCAAUCUGCAGUGUUCAGAUUACUAUGAAAUAAAACUCUUUAUACCAUGGGUAUUCUGUACACCUCAGGUAAACAGGUCCCUGCAUACCUCAUAGCACCACCCCCCUUCCUUCUAAAGGGUCUCAUAAACCUCAGUUUCAAACUAAAGCUAUCUGCACACGUCCUGGUCUUGGCUGGGAUCGUUAUUCUUCUUCAUAGUGGAUGGUAUGCUACUGUGUUUUGGGAAAGAAAAAAAAAAUAAAGGUAACAAAAAUGUGGAUAAUACAUUGAUAGCUGCUGUGCUUACAUUGAGUCAAGGACUCUUCAGCUCCUCCUGCUGCCCUGCCUGUGAGGAGCUGGGAAAGAACCAGAACAGCUGACCCAGGCUGGCCAAAGGGAUAUCCUAUACCAUACAUAACAGCAUCACGCUGAACAACAAAACUGGGGGAGACUGCUACUGCUCAGUGAUAAGCAGAGCAUUGGUCAGCAGGUGGUGAGUAACUGCACUGUGCAUCGUUUUUGUAGCAGUUGUGUUUUGUUUUCUUUCUUAUUAAACUGUCUUUAUCUCA